AGGAUGUUGGCUUAUAAGCAGCCAUCAUUUAAAGAAAGCGUAAUAGCUCACUGGUCGAGUCGGUCUGCGGGGAAGAUUUAACGGGGCUAAGCACAGAACCGAAGCUUGGGGUGCAUAACUUUGUUAUGCGCGGUAGAGGAGCGUUCCGUAAGCCGUUGAAGGUGGAUUGAGAAGUCUGCUGGAGGUAUCGGAAGUGCGAAUGCUGACAUGAGUAACGAUAAUGCGGGUGAAAAGCCCGCACGCCGUAAGCCCAAGGUUUCCUGUUCAACGUUCAUCGGAGCAGGGUGAGUCGGCCCCUAAGGCGAGGCAGAGAUGCGUAGCUGAUGGGAAGCAGGUUAAUAUUCCUGCACCGUCGUAUGAUGCGAUGGGGGGACGGAUCGCGGAAGGUUGUCUGACUGUUGGAAUAGUCAGUUUCUGGUUCAUAGAAGGUACUUAGGCAAAUCCG
rnacentral:rRNA from 1 species